rnacentral:misc_RNA from 1 species
GUGAAUCAUCGAAUUUUUGAACGCAAAUUGCACUCUCUGGUAUUCCGGAGAGUAUGCCUGUUUGAGGGUCAGUAUAAUCAAAAUCGGAGCGAUGCCUUUUGGGUGAAGCACCGGAGUUUGGGUCAUCUUAACUCUUUAAGAGACCUAAAAUUAACAUUCUUUUUUUGCUCACUUUGAGACGUACAUAAUUUUUUUUAUUCGUCUACCCUGGUGGCAAAAAUUUUACUAGAUCGUGAAUCACGUAGAGUGGUCUCGCGUCUAUAAUUAUCAUGAUUUGACCUCAAAUCAGGUAGGAAUACC